UGUAAAGAAAACACUCCCCAUCAUCCCACCAACAAAUUAAUAUUCUCACAUACCCCAUUUAAAGGCAAAAUGUCCAUUUUAAACACAACUCAAUUAAAAAAUUACGCCGUGCCACUCUCUCUGUCUAUCUCUCAGACUCUCUCUCCUCUCCGUGACGCCGGCUUCGUCGGCGUCUGAUCUGUCCUCUCGAUGACAACGGAGUAGCUCGAAAUGGACACGGAUCCGACCUGCUUGCCUUUGUCGUCGUCGUCGCCGGAGUUGGUCUCUCUCUCUCUCUCCCCCCUCCCUUCCAUGACGUCGGCUUCAUCGAUGUCUGAUCUGUCCUCGAUGACCACGGCGGAGUAGCUGGAAUUGGAGACGGAUCCGACCCGCUUGCCUUUGUCGUCGCCGCCGUCACCAGAGUUGGUCUGGGUGAAUGUCAAGAAGUGUUUUAUGGUUUCAUUCCCAAUAUUGAGUCUGGGUGUGAUCGUGGUUUCAUUCCCAACUUUCGCGGCAUCUGCUAUGGGUCUCACAUAGGAAUAGGCAAAUGGUUAAUGGUUCCAAUUUUCCAGUUAGUGCUAUGGUUUACGGUUCCAAGUUUCCAACCACUGAAGCAGCUAGGGCGGUGGGACCAUCACUUAUGACGGUGUUUCUUGUAUUUGGAGGUUAUUAUGUGAAUGCAAAUAAUGCACCAAUUAUCUUUUGUUG